rnacentral:rRNA from 1 species
GACAGAGGCCUCAAGCGUUAGGCGGAAUCACUGGGCUUAAAGCGUGUGUAGGCGGAUCGUUAAGUGCCUUGUGAAAUCCCACGGCUUAACUGUGGAACGGCUGGGCAUACUGGCGGUCUUGAGCCAUCUAGGGGCGACUGGAACAAACGGUGGAGCGGUGAAAUGCGUAGAUAUCGUUUGGAACGCCAAUGGUGAAAACAGGUCGCUGGGGAUGAGUUGACGCUGAGACACGAAAGCCAGGGGAGCAAACGGG